AAAACGCAUGUUUUAGUUUAUUUAUUUGAUAACCGAAUGAUCAAAUACGGAAGUUAUAAACGUGUUACAGGAAUAAAAUGCUGAUAUAAUAUCGAUUUUGCUUGCUAAAAUAGUUUUUAAGUACUACUAUCAAAUUAAAUGGAUUUAAGUACAAACAUAAGUGUCCAUCUGCAAAUCCACACAGUUUGAAACGAUAAGUCAAGCCAAAAUAAAGCUUGUGACACUUCGAUUAGUAGUAUGAUUGAUAUCGUUUACGGUACUCAUUCUCUUUAAAUUAAUAACGGCAGCGUAUAAAAUCGGAUAACUGGGAAUAGCUCCUCACUGAAAUACACGUGCAGCAAGUGGUAACACCAACGCUGAAGUCUCCUUUAGCCAGGCAUCAACUUGGCAAAGAGAAGCAAGUGGUAACAUCAACGUUGAUGUCUUAUAUAUCCAGGGAUCGAAUGGGCAAACCUCUCACGUGGAUCAUUACCAGCAUCUCCAAGUAGACGUUAGUCUGAGAGGCAUCUUACCACAACCGCAACUAAACAAUUAGUUGAGCAGCUGGAACCGGAUAUGAAGUCUAUACUUAACUAUUUUGUUUUUAAGGACUUCUUCUACUGCACAUACCCGAAUAACAAUUAUAAUUGAAUGAAAACUUACACAACUGCACAUACAUUGAGAGAAAUAGCCAUCGAAAAAAAUUAGACGAAAUUUAUGAAUUAAAAAAAAAAUCUAUAUACAAAUUCAUUGGUGGAACGCAAAGCAAAGUGAAGCUUUACAGUAAUUAAUUGAUAUGAAAAGAUAUCGUAGUUUUGCUAGUAAAACGCGUAACAAAAUAAAUUUGACCAUUUUUUUAAAUUUUGAUAUACGUUGAAGAAAAUGCUUAACUUUGAAAAAUAACAUGUUCAAACAAUGAUUUAACUAUUUAUGUAACACAUUAAUGUAAAAGCCUUAUAUAAUUAUGCAAUUAAUGUUAAUAAUUAAUUAUAAAAAAUAUAGAAAAGUGUAUUGUUUUAUUAAUUAAUUAUGUUGUUCAAAAAUUCUAGCCGCACGAAGAAGGAUUCUUAUGCAUACAGGUAAUUGGAUAUAUAACAACAACAAAAAAAAAACAAACAACAACAUUUAGUAGCUCUUAAGCAUACACUUUCUUUUAGCCUAAUGAAAAAUACACACGUUUUAUGACAUGGAUUAUGAAUAUUUUGUAAUGGUAUAAGUUAACAAUGAUCUUACUGAUUAAUAACACAAUAUGUAUCACCUUUACAUCGAUAAUACCACGUGUUCAUUGAAUACUGAGAUAAACAAAUAUCUGCACUACAUAAGUACUUUAACUUUAAUAUUGAUCUUGAUUAUUACUCAUCAAAUGAUGAUAAACAUAGUGUUAAACAUCAAUGAAUGAAUUGUUAAUUGUUUCUAAAUUGUUCCGUCUAAAAUCGAUUUACAUAAAAAAAUGAAAUAUAAUUAUUUAUUUUUUAUUUUGGUUUCUCAUUAACAUAUCAAACUGAUUUAACAUUGUCCGUCUUUGAUAAAAUGACUUUAAGUAUGUUUUAUAAUAUCUUUGUAUAUUUGACUUUUAAUAAGAAUUACUAUUCACUUUUUACGACAUUAAGAUUCCAAAAUUUACAUUUUCUGUUAACUCAAAUAAAAGAGUGGUAUCGACCUGAUUCUAAUUCUUAUUUAUGUGAUGAUAGGCGACAUUGAUUAAGUGCUAUUUUUAAUUGUUCUUGUAAUGAUAUCUAGAUAUUGUUUUGUUUUAAAACGUAUUCUUAGUGAGACAAUAUGUAUAAACUCUUGAUGAAUGAUUGAUUUCAUUGUCACGGUGUUGUGUGUUAUGAUAAAAAAACUUGUUGUUAGAUUUGUUUGUAAGUUAGUGUCUGUAUGUUCAUUAUUUUUUCUGUAAAGGUUUCUUGUUCAGUCCAUAUAUAAGGUAAACCUAGCUUCUCGAUUAUUCAUUUGAUAAGAUAAGCCAAAUUUAUUUUGUUUUGUAGUUAUACAUAUGUUAUUUUACUGAGACUAUCAUUUGUACAUGAUAUUAUUGUUUGAACCAUUAUUGAAAUAUGGGUUAUGUAUCAUCACAGCUAAGGGUUAUCGUCCUAAUUCGCCAUACUGAUCUGAUAGAUUUGUUGAUUUGUUGACUCAUAAUUUUUGUCUUAAAAACUUUUUCGAUAAGAACGGUGGUUUCUUAUUUAUCAAUAAGAUUUGUUGUUUCUUUACUUGCGAAAACAAAGUGUUUAAAACAGAUAAAAGUCGAUAAAGCGCUCUUUUACCGUGUUCUGAAUUAGAUUUUGUUUAUUGUGUAUACCAGUUUCCGCGAUUUGUUAUUGUUUAUACCAGUUUCCGUUUAAACAUUCUCCAAAAUACUUGAAAAUAUAUUCUUUAUAUCCUGCGAUAUCGAAUAUAU